AUUGAACGCUGGCGGCAGGCCUAACACAUGCAAGUCGAGCGGAUGAAGGGAGCUUGCUCCUGGAUUCAGCGGCGGACGGGUGAGUAAUGCCUAGGAAUCUGCCUGGUAGUGGGGGAUAACGUCCGGAAACGGGCGCUAAUACCGCAUACGUCCUGAGGGAGAAAGUGGGGGAUCUUCGGACCUCACGCUAUCAGAUGAGCCUAGGUCGGAUUAGCUAGUUGGUGGGGUAAAGGCCUACCAAGGCGACGAUCCGUAACUGGUCUGAGAGGAUGAUCAGUCACACUGGAACUGAGACACGGUCCAGACUCCUACGGGAGGCAGCAGUGGGGAAUAUUGGACAAUGGGCGAAAGCCUGAUCCAGCCAUGCCGCGUGUGUGAAGAAGGUCUUCGGAUUGUAAAGCACUUUAAGUUGGGAGGAAGGGCAGUAAGUUAAUACCUUGCUGUUGUGACGUUACCAACAGAAUAGGCACCGGCUAACUUCG
rnacentral:rRNA from 1 species